rnacentral:lncRNA from 1 species
GGAAUGGGGACAUGGGAGAAUGGGGAGCCCAUCAGCUCCUGGUUCUUGUCUUAAUCUGUUUUCUGUUGCUAUAGCAGAAUACCUGAGACUUGGAAAUUUAGAAAGAAAAAUGGUUCAUCUGGCUCAUAGCUCUGGAGGCUGGGAAGUCUAAGGGCAUGGUGGCAGCCUCUGGUGAGGGCUUUUGCUCUGUGUCAUAACAUGAACAAAAAGCUGAAGGGCAAGCCAGUGUGUGCAAA